CAGCUGGAAAAUACAUAGAUAUUUGUCACUGCAUCUUAUAUGAACACCUUAUACAUUUUCUAAACUGAACAAAACUGCGAGAUCAUGCAAAAUAUUGAUCACUGACAAUAGAAUUCAAAAGCUCGAGUGAUGCGGAAAGAAAUGCCGAUCACUCCAAGCUUAUACAUCUAUAUCACGCAGGAUGUAAAAUCACAUAUUAACUACGGUUCUUGAAAUAUAAUAAUAUGAAGUACAGAAGUAUAUAAAAUGUAUUUGAGAGACAUAAAUUUGCUAUCAGACGCUACACAUGAACUUGCUGUAUAAGGAAAAAGAAAAAUUCCCAUAAAAAUGUAUAUUGACAACCAGAAUAUUUAUAUGAAGCAAAUUUAGCAAGGGAAUAUUUGAUUUAAUGCCUGGAGAAGUACGUUACUAAAAUUCUGUAAAAUUAAGUGUUCUGUUUUCUAUAACUAAAAUGUACAUUCUCAAAAGAAUGUUUUGAAGAUGGAAAUAAAAAGGAAAAUUUCCAAGAGGAAGAGGAAGAUCAAGAUGGUAACAACAGAUUAGGAAAGAUGUCAUACAAAAGAAGAAACAAUGUGAGAAGUCUAACAUUUUGGGUUCUCACAACAUUGAGCAUGAAAAUGACCGUGUUCUGGAAUAUCGCGCUGUGAAAUUUGGUAGAAGUUUACCGACAUUUCAGAGUUGCUUACUGCCUCAAUCACUGCAGCCAUCAUGUGAGAAUAAAUUGAAGAGGAGCCAUGGGAAGAGAUUGAUUGUCAGAUGACCCACAUAAAUGGAAACAUCUUUGGAAGAAGACGUAGUAGUAGAAGUAGGAAAAGAACUACAUACACUAAUCAGGCAUGUUUCAGUUAUUCUGUUUCAGAACUCCUUGUCCAGGCUACUGGCCCAUUGCGAAGCUCCUACCUAACGGAGAAAUUCCCCAACUAAUACUUAAAUCUGCAAUCCAUGUUCAAGCAAUCCAAGACCACAAAUGGCAAUGCCGAAAAAGAUGGACAUGACGAUAUAUCCAGAAUAGGUGCUGCAAAAGGGAGUGGAUGCAACAGCCAGGGUGCUCACCACCAGGCAGAUGUUAUUCAGUAAUAAAGCGUCCACCCACGGGAAGUCUGCCACAUAGCCACAAACAACCCUGCCAAUGGUGUUUGUGAUACCGAUGAUGGACAGGAGGAAUGAAGCAGAGUUGGAAUCAAUACCCUGAAAGAAGCCAUAGUUAAUUGUUAACAUUACAGGUAAAAUCUAUAUCUUUACUUUACAUCUGGAGUAAUUCAAACGUAAUGUCUACAACAUACUACAAUUGCUCGUAACUAACCUGACCUAUGUUACACAUAUUUGAUCUUCUGUCUUAGGAUUUAACUGAAACAAAAAUUGCUAUUCUGAGACUCCUAUUUACUCAAAAAUGUUUUGAAAUAAAAUUAAUUUUUUUCUCAUCCUUCAA